rnacentral:rRNA from 1 species
GAUGAACGCUAGCGGCAGGCUUAAUACAUGCAAGUCGUGGGGCAGCAGGGGUAGCAAUACCCGCUGGCGACCGGCAAACGGGUGCGGAACACGUACGCAACCUUCCUUUGACUGGAGAAUAGCCCCUCGAAAGAGGGAUUAAUACUCCGUAACAUGUACAUGUGGCAUCGCAAGUACAUUAUAGCUCCGGCGGUUAAAGAUGGGCGUGCGCCUGAUUAGAUAGNGGCGGGGUAACGGCCCACCAAGUCUGCGAUCAGUAACUGGUGUGAGAGCACGACCAGUCACACGGGCACUGAGACACGGGCCCGACUCCUACGGGAGGCAGCAGUAAGGAAUAUUGGUCAAUGGACGCAAGUCUGAACCAGCCAUGCCGCGUGGAGGAUUAAGGCCCUC